CUUGGUUUAGAGUUGACUUAGGGGUUAAAGGUUACGUUUUUUGAGAAAGGUAGUAAAACAUUAAUGAUGGGUAAAGUUCUUUCUCUCACGCUGCAUAAGAGAACUGGGUGAUCCUGUUUGCUGUAUAAAGGGGGUAUUUUCUUAGGGCAAUUUGAAAUUGGCAGUGCAAAUGCUCCUUGACUUCCUCUUGUGUCUGAGAUGGGGAAACUGAGGCAUGGAGAAGUUGAAUAAUUUGCUCAAGUCCACACAGCCAGGAAGCAGCAUGAAGUUAGAACGUAAUUCCUGGGAAUCUGACUCCAACAAUGAUCAUGUCUUUCCUCCAGAAGAGGAAAUAGAGACACUGAUGAAAAGUCUGUUUAUGAAGCAGUGAGAACCCAGGGGGCUCUACACACGCACAGACUAAAAGAAGAAGACUUUAGAAGUUUCCAGAGCUCUCAAGGAAGAACAAUGUCAAUAGAAAAAAAAAAUCAGGAACCACAAUGUUUGGCAAGAAGGAAAGAAGUCACAGUUUAUCCCAUGAGUUUUAAUGUCAUCAAAUCAGUAAAGAUACUGAAAACUGAUCUAACUGAAAUUGGGGCAUAAUCUCAGAAGCAUAAUUCAAGAGCAGACAUCCUAAAGUUAGCCUGUACAUGUUCCAUUCUGUGUAUCCACUACUUCCUGAGACUAAGCUAUGUGCUUAACCACCCUGUAACUCAAUUUCCUUAUCUGUAAAAUGGGAGUCAUAACAAAACUUAUUGCAUAGGAUCUGGGAGAAUAUUAAGUAAAUUAAUAUGUGAAAAAUGCUUAGAAUAAUGUGUGUACAUAAUAAAUUAUAUAUAAGAGCAA